GCGUGGGUGAAGAAGGUCUUCGGAUUGUAAAGCCCUUUCGACAGGGACGAUGAUGACGGUACCUGUAGAAGAAGCCCCGGCUAACUUCGUGCCAGCAGCCGCGGUAAUACGAAGGGGGCUAGCGUUGCUCGGAAUUACUGGGCGUAAAGGGCGCGUAGGCGGCGCAGUUAGUCAGGCGUGAAAUUCCUGGGCUCAACCUGGGGACUGCGCUUGAUACGGCUGUGCUAGAGGAUGGAAGAGGCUCGCGGAAUUCCCAGUGUAGAGGUGAAAUUCGU
rnacentral:rRNA from 1 species